GAGUAGCUCAGUUGGUAGAGCGCAACCUUGCCAAGGUUGAGGUCGCGAGUUCGAGACUCGUCUCCCGCUCCA
rnacentral:tRNA from 1 species